UUUCAUGGUGGCUGUACGUGGGAGGUCUUCGGGCCUGCCGGAACUCCGCUCUAUAUCGACCGGUCUUGCACACCCGCGUACAGCUGCCACCCUC
rnacentral:antisense_RNA from 1 species